GUGGGGAAUAUUGGACAAUGGGCGCAAGCCUGAUCCAGCCAUGCCGCGUGAGUGAUGAAGGCCUUAGGGUUGUAAAGCUCUUUCACCGAUGAAGAUAAUGACGGUAGUCGGAGAAGAAGCCCCGGCUAACUUCGUGCCAGCAGCCGCGGUAAUACGAAGGGGGCUAGCGUUGUUCGGAUUUACUGGGCGUAAAGCGCACGUAGGCGGUUUGUUAAGUCAGGGGUGAAAUCCCGGAGCUCAACUCCGGAACUGCCUUUGAUACUGACAAGCUAGAGUCCGGAAGAGGUAAGUGGAACUCCUAGUGUAGAGGUGGAAUUCGUAGAUAUUAGGAAGAACACCAGUGGCGAAGGCGGCUUACUGGUCCGGAACUGACGCUGAGGUGCGAAAGCGUGGGGAGCAAACAGGAUUAGAAACCCGGGUAGUCC
rnacentral:rRNA from 1 species